rnacentral:snoRNA from 1 species
CUGCAGUGAUGACUUUCUUAGGACACCUUUGGAUUUAUCAUGAAAAUAUCUGAAUUCUGAGCAGC